AUUGAACGCUGGCGGCAUGCUUUACACAUGCCAGUCGAACGGCAGCGCGGGCUUCGGCCUGGCGGCGAGUGGCGAACGGGUGAGUAAUGCAUCGGAACGUGCCCAGUAGUGGGGGAUAGCCCGGCGAAAGCCGGAUUAAUACCGCAUACGACCUGAGGGUGAAAGCGGGGGACCGAAAGGCCUCGCGCUAUUGGAGCGGCCGAUGUCGGAUUAGCUAGUUGGUGGGGUAAAGGCUUACCAAGGCGACGAUCCGUAGCUGGUCUGAGAGGACGACCAGCCACACUGGGACUGAGACACGGCCCAGACUCCUACGGGAGGCAGCAGUGGGGAAUUUUGGACAAUGGGGGCAGCCCUGAUCCAGCCAUGCCGCGUGCGGGAAGAAGGCCUUCGGGUUGUAAACCGCUUUUGUUCGGGAAGAAAUCCUCUGGGCUAAUACCCCGGGGGGAUGACGGUACCGGAAGAAUAAGCACCGGCUAACUACGUG
rnacentral:rRNA from 1 species